GCUCAGAAACUUAAAGGAAUUGACGGGGGCCCGCACAAGCGGUGGAGCAUGUGGUUUAAUUCGAUGAUACGCGAGGAACCUUACCUGGGCUCAAAUGUAUGUUGACGUAUUCUGAAAGGGAUACUUCUUCGGACAAUAUACAAGGUGCUGCAUGGUUGUCGUCAGCUCGUGCCGUGAGGUGUCGGGUUAAGUCCCAUAACGAGCGCAACCCCUACCUUUAGUUGCCAUCAGGUAAUGCUGGGGACUCUAAAGGAACUGCCUACGCAAGUAGUGAGGAAGGCGGGGAUGACGUCAAAUCAGCACGGCCCUUACGUCCAGGGCUACACACGUGCUACAAUGGCCGAUACAGAGGGCAGCUACCUGGUGACAGGAUGCAAAUCUCCAAAGUCGGUCUCAGUUCGGAUCGGAGUCUGCAACCCGACUCCGUGAAGUUGGAUUCGCUAGUAAUCGCGCAUCAGCCAUGGCGCGGUGAAUACGUUCCCGGGCCUU
rnacentral:rRNA from 1 species